UUGAAUAAUUGCUUUUCGCCAAAGACAGUAGGUCUAUGCUGAAAAAGGGGAGUCCCCGCCUACCGAGGCGAAAGAAACGUUUAAUAAUAUAGUUUCUUUUGCUGCGGGGUCUCUUUUUGAGACCUUUUUUAUUGAAAGG
rfam:Thermotoga lettingae TMO, complete genome.